AUUAUAGUUGUCCUGACUUUAUAUGAGAAGUUGCAAACGUUCAAAUGUUUGUCUGAAGAAACAAGAAAAAAUAGAAAUUGUGAUAUUCUUUAUUGAAUCCUUACUGCUAUAACUGAAGAGACUAGCUAGCUUGUUUUACAGUGUAGCUAGCGAUAUUAGCAGGUUAGCUCCCCGGUUGGCUAACUGUAAUGUGAGAGAAGACAUGCUAACAACUCAACAAUAGUACAAACAAUAGUCACCCAAAACAUACUUUAACCAGGAUACGGAGCCCUUCCCCCCUAUGGGGAAAGAAGAAUGAGCUCUAUCAUCAAAUGUUGGGACCUGGCUGCUGGGCUGUGCUCUCACUCAGAAGCAAGAGUGAAAGUAACGACUUACUGGCAGUGACAAGGCAUCCUCACUGCUGAGUUACUCUUCCUCCCAAAUGUAUUAGAUUGAUUAAGUUCAUGGCAUACUCAACAUUGUUGCAAGGACCUAUCUGUCUGUGUCAUCCCCGCCCCUCAGUGUGAGGAGAGUGGAGAAGUGCGAGUGCUCAGAGAGUUCAAAAAUAAUUUUAGACUACAAAAAUAUUUGCAUGCAACCAUGCACUCCUUCAUAUCUGUGCCUCUUUCCCUGUCUCUGAUAUCAUAAUACUAAAUCCAUUUUUAGCAUUGUGGCUGGUUAUGAUGUAAAAUAUAAGUCUCACAUUAACAAAUAAGCCAAAUAGAGUGACAAAAACAAAACUUCUGAAACACAAAACAACAAAAUAAUCACUAACUGAGGCAAGGUGAUGAGUGAGACAGAAUAUGUACAGUGUGUUACUGUCUGUUUCCUUGG